CGCGUAGGCGGACUUUCAAGUCAGGGGUGAAAUCCCGAGGCUUAACCUCGGAACUGCCUUUGAUACUGUAAGUCUUGAGUCCGAGAGAGGUGAGUGGAAUUCCUAGUGUAGAGGUGAAAUUCGUAGAUAUUAGGAAGAACACCAGUGGCGAAGGCGGCUCACUGGCUCGGUACUGACGCUGAGGCGCGAAAGCGUGGGGAGCAAACA
rnacentral:rRNA from 1 species